CCUACGGGAGGCAGCAGUGAGGAAUAUUGGUCAAUGGGCGGAAGCCUGAACCAGCCAAGUAGCGUGAAGGAUGACGGCCCUACGGGUUGUAAACUGCUUUUAUACGGGAAUAACGCCCCUUACGUGUAGGGCUUUGCGUGUACCGUAUGAAUAAGGACCGGCUAAUUCCGUGCCGGCAGCCGCGGUAAUACGGAAGGUCCGGGCGUUAUCCGGAGUUCGUGGGUUUAACGGGAGCGUAGGCCGCAUGUCAUGCGUGAUGUGAAAUGUCCGGGCACAACCAUAGCCUUGCAGCGGGAAGGGGGAGGCGUGAGUCCGCAGAAGGCAGGCGGAAGUC
rnacentral:rRNA from 1 species